AUGAUAACGACCAUAAUUACAGGAAUGUUCUUGCACCCAGUGCUUCAUGGUUGUACUAAGAAAGCUGAGAUGAGCAAGAGGGAUGGCCUUCUCAUAUUGGUAAGGACUCCACCAAUAACCCCAAAGCCACGUAGUCCUCUGGCAGAGCUGGAACCAGAUACCUGCAGAGUGAUGGAUCUCCUGGCCAUGGAUCUGCACCCAGACUCACUGCUUUGGGGCCAAGUGCUGGGGAAAAUGGAACAAGAGUGGUGUGGAGAGCAGAGAGGAAGCCCGGCAUCCUGCCAGAGGGACGCAACAGGAUGAGUCUGGAGUUGUGAUUCCUUCAGGUCUGAGGCUCCUUUAGGUCCAGGUAAAGAAUCUUCAACUGACAGCAUGCAGGUAAGAAUAAACCAGGUGUUACAUGAACUGGGAAAACUGAA
rnacentral:lncRNA from 1 species